UACGUAGGGGGCGAGCGUUGUCCGAAGUUACUGGGCGUAAAGCGCGCGUAGGCGGGAAAUUAAGUGAGAAGUGAAAGGCUGGGGCUCAACCUCAUGCAGUGCUUCUCAUACUGGUUUUCUUGAGGGCGGUAGAGAAAAGUGGAAUGGCUGGUGUAGCGGUGAAAUGCGUAGAUAUCAGUCGGAACACCGGUGGCGAAGGCGGCUUUUUGGGCCGUUCCUGUCGCUGAGGCGCGAAAGCCAGGGGAGCGAACGGG
rnacentral:rRNA from 1 species